CCUACGGGUGGCAGCAGUGGGGAAUAUUUCACAAUGGGGGGAACCCUGAUGCAGCGACGCCGCGUGGGUGAAGGAGUACUUCGGUACGUAAAGCCCUAUCAUCAGGAAAGAAAAUGACGGUACCUGACUAAGAAGCCCCGGCUAACUACGUGCCAGCAGCCGCGGUAAUACGUAGGGUGCAAGCGUUAUCCGGAUUUACUGGGUGUAAAGGGAUCGUAGACGGAAGUGCAAGUCCGGAGUGAAAGCCCGGGGCUAAACCCUGGGACUGCUCUGGCAACUGUAAAGCUGGAGGGCGGGAGGGGCAGGCGGAAUUCCUGGUGUAGGGGUGAAAUGCGUAGAUAUCAGGAGGAACACCGGCGGCGAAGGCGGGCUGCUGGAACGGAACUGACGCUGAGGCUCGAAAGCGUGGGGAGCAAACAGGAUUAGAUACCCGUGUAGUC
rnacentral:rRNA from 1 species